AGGUAAGGCCUGCUGCACCUUUAUCACUGCAGGCACUCGGCCGUGCUGUGGGCUCAUGAGUGGGCCUUAGACGUGAAUCGUCGAUGGUACGGUGUGAGGAGGGGUUGAAUGCCCC
rnacentral:ncRNA from 1 species